UAGCGGCGAGCGAACGGGGAGCAGCCCAGAGUCUUAAUCAGCAUUAGCAUCAGGAGAACGGUCUGGAAAGUCCGGCAGUAAAGGGUGAUAGCCCCGUAUCCGAAGGUGUUAGUGUUGUGAACUCGACGAGUAGGGCGGGACACGUGUUAUCCUGUCUGAAUAUGGGGGGACCAUCCUCCAAGGCUAAAUACUCCUGAUUGACCGAUAGUGAACCAGUACCGUGAGGGAAAGGCGAAAAGAACCCCGGCGAGGGGAGUGAAAUAGAACCUGAAACCGUGUACGUACAAGCAGUGGGAGCCCCAUCACUCAAGUGCCUCGGCAAUUGAGUGAUGGUGUAAAACCAUCACAAUAACAGCGCAGGAUUUGCCAACAAGAUUGGCUGAUUUUUUCAAGCCGCAGCGCAGUGGACAUCGAAGUCCAUGAGCAGCGGAAGUUAAAAAAUCGGGCAAGAUUGGCCGCAAAGCCAAGCGGGACAUUUGAGGAUGGGGUGACUGCGUACCUUUUGUAUAAUGGGUCAGCGACUUAUAUUCUGUAGCAAGGUUAACCGWAUAGGGGAGCCGUAGGGAAACCGAGUCUUAACUGGGCGAAUAAGUUGCAGGGUAUAGACCCGAAACCCGGUGAUCUAGCCAUGGGCAGGUUGAAGGUUGGGUAACACUAACUGGAGGACCGAACCGACUAAUGUUGAAAAAUUAGCGGAUGACUUGUGGCUGGGGGUGAAAGGCCAAUCAAACCGGGAGAUAGCUGGUUCUCCCCGAAAGCUAUUUAGGUAGCGCCUYGUGAACUCAUCUUCGGGGGUAGAGCACUGUUUCGACUAGGGGGUCAUCCCGACUUACCAACUCGAUGCAAACUACGAAUACCGAAGAAUGUUAUCACGGGAGACACACGGCGGGUGCUAACGUUCGUCGUGAAGAGGGAAACAACCCAGACCGCCAGCUAAGGUCCCAAAGUCAUAGUUAAGUGGGAAACGAAGUGGGAAGGCUCAGACAGCCAGGAUGUUGGCUUAGAAGCAGCCAUCAUUUAAAGAAAGCGUAAUAGCUCACUGGUCGAGUCGGCCUGCGCGGAAGAUGUAACGGGG
rnacentral:rRNA from 1 species